rnacentral:tRNA from 1 species
GCCCCUGUAGCUCAUCUGGAGAAGAGCGUCGGCCUACGAAGUCGAAGGUGGCAGGUUCGAGUCCUGCCAGGGGUAC